rnacentral:tRNA from 1 species
AAUGUUGCGCCGGUGUGUACGGGCUACUUUGAUGCUGUAGAAAACAGGGAUAUCCCUCAACAUUU